rnacentral:rRNA from 1 species
UUUUUGUGGUUUUGGAUGGACUCGCGGCCUAUCAGCUUGUUGGUGAGGUAAUGGCUUACCAAGGCGACGACGGGUAGCCGGCCUGAGAGGGUGACCGGCCACACUGGGACUGAGACACGGCCCAGACUCCUACGGGAGGCAGCAGUGGGGAAUAUUGCACAAUGGGCGCAAGCCUGAUGCAGCGACGCCGCGUGAGGGAUGACGGCCUUCGGGUUGUAAACCUCUUUCAGUAGGGAAGAAGCGAAAGUGACGGUACCUGCAGAAGAAGCGCCGGCUAACUACGUGCCAGCAGCCGCGGUAAUACGUAGGGCGCAAGCGUUAUCCGGAAUUAUUGGGCGUAAAGAGCUCGUAGGCGGUUUGUCGCGUCUGCCGUGAAAGUCCGGGGCUCAACUCCGGAUCUGCGGUGGGUACGGGCAGACUAGAGUGAUGUAGGGGAGACUGGAAUUCCUGGUGUAGCGGUGAAAUGCGCAGAUAUCAGGAGGAACACCGAUGGCGAAGGCAGGUCUCUGGGCAUUAAC